UACGUAGGGUGCAAGCGUUAUUCGGAAUUACUGGGCGUAAAGCGUGCGCAGGCGGUUGUGCAAGACAGAUGUGAAAUCCCCGGGCUCAACCUGGGAACUGCAUUUGGGACUGCACGGCUGGAGUGCGGCAGAGGGGGAUGGAAUUCCGCGUGUAGCAGUGAAAUGCGUAGAUAUGCGGAGGAACACCGAUGGCGAAGGCAAUCCCCUGGGCCUGCACUGACGCUCAUGCACGAAAGCGUGGGGAGCAAACAGG
rnacentral:rRNA from 1 species